rnacentral:rRNA from 1 species
CCUACGGGGGGCAGCAGUGGGGAAUAUUGCACAAUGGGCGCAAGCCUGAUGCAGCCAUGCCGCGUGUGUGAAGAAGGCCUUCGGGUUGUAAAGCACUUUCAGCGGGGAGGAAGGGUCACUAGUUAAUACCUAGUGGCAUUGACGUUACUCGCAGAAGAAGCACCGGCUAACUCCGUGCCAGCAGCCGCGGUAAUACGGAGGGUGCAAGCGUUAAUCGGAAUUACUGGGCGUAAAGCGCACGCAGGCGGUUUGUUAAGUCAGAUGUGAAAUCCCCGAGCUCAACUUGGGAACUGCAUUUGAAACUGGCAAGCUAGAGUCUUGUAGAGGGGGGUAGAAUUCCAGGUGUAGCGGUGAAAUGCGUAGAGAUCUGGAGGAAUACCGGUGGCGAAGGCGGCCCCCUGGACAAAGACUGACGCUCAGGUGCGAAAGCGUGGGGAGCAAACAGGAUUAGAUACCCCAGUAGUC